rnacentral:rRNA from 1 species
GAAGAGCAUUUGAAACAGCAAGACUUGAGUACAGGAGAGGAAAGCGGAAUCCUGGUGUAGAGGUGAAAUUCGUAGAUAUCAGGAGGAACACCCAUGGCGAAGGCAGCUUUCUGGACUGAUACUGACGCUGAGGCGCGAAGGUGUGGGUAGCGAACAGGAUUAGAUACCCUGGUAGUCCACACAGUAAACGAUGUUCACUAGGUGUAGCGGGUAUUAAAACCUGCUGUGCCGGAGUUAACGCAUUAAGUGAACCGCCUGGGGAGUACGGUCGCAAGAUUAAAACUCAAAGGAAUUGACGGGGGCCCGCACAAGCGGUGGAGCAUGUGGUUUAAUUCGACGCAACGCGAAGAACCUUACCUGGAUUUGACAUCCUGUGAAUCCCCGAGAGAUCG